UGGGGAAUUUUGGACAAUGGGGGAAACCCUGAUCCAGCCAUCCCGCGUGUGCGAUGAAGGCCUUCGGGUUGUAAAGCACUUUUGGCAGGAAAGAAACGUCAUGGGUUAAUACCCCGUGAAACUGACGGUACCUGCAGAAUACGCACCGGCUAACUACGUGCCAGCAGCCGCGGUAAUACGUAGGGUGCAAGCGUUAAUCGGAAUUACUGGGCGUAAAGCGUGCGCAGGCGGUUCGGAAAGAAAGAUGUGAAAUCCCAGAGCUCAACUUUGGAACUGCAUUUUUAACUACCGGGCUAGAGUGUGUCAGAGGGAGGUGGAAUUCCGCGUGUAGCAGUGAAAUGCGUAGAUAUGCGGAGGAACACCGAUGGCGAAGGCAGCCUCCUGGGAUAACACUGACGCUCAUGCACGAAAGCGUGGGGAGCAAACAGG
rnacentral:rRNA from 1 species